AUUAGAGUUUGAUCCUGGCUCAGAUUGAACGCUGGCGGCAGGCUUAACACAUGCAAGUCGAGCGGUAGCACAGGGGAGCUUGCUCCCUGGGUGACGAGCGGCGGACGGGUGAGUAAUGUCUGGGAAACUGCCUGAUGGAGGGGGAUAACUACUGGAAACGGUAGCUAAUACCGCAUAACGUCGCAAGACCAAAGAGGGGGACCUUCGGGCCUCUUGCCAUCAGAUGUGCCCAGAUGGGAUUAGCUAGUAGGUGGGGUAAUGGCUCACCUAGGCGACGAUCCCUAGCUGGUCUGAGAGGAUGACCAGCCACACUGGAACUGAGACACGGUCCAGACUCCUACGGGAGGCAGCAGUGGGGAAUAUUGCACAAUGGGCGCAAGCCUGAUGCAGCCAUGCCGCGUGUGUGAAGAAGGCCUUCGGGUUGUAAAGCACUUUCAGCGAGGAGGAAGGUGGUGAACUUAAUACGUUCAUCAAUUGACGUUACUCGCAGAAGAAGCACCGGCUAACUCCGUGCCAGCAGCCGCGGUAAUACGGAGGGUGCAAGCGUUAAUCGGAAUUACUGGGCGUAAAGCGCACGCAGGCGGUUUGUUAAGUCAGAUGUGAAAUCCCCGGGCUCAACCUGGGAACUGCAUUUGAAACUGGCAAGCUAGAGUCUCGUAGAGGGGGGUAGAAUUCCAGGUGUAGCGGUGAAAUGCGUAGAGAUCUGGAGGAAUA
rnacentral:rRNA from 1 species